rnacentral:misc_RNA from 1 species
CGGGCGUCCUCACAAAUUACCUGCAUUCAGAGAUUCAUACCGGCACAGGUCGGUAUGCGAAGUCCCUUUAUGGGGCCUUAGCUCAGCUGGGAGAGCACCUGCUUUGCAAGCAGGGGGUCGUCGGUUCGAUCCCGACAGGCUCCACCAUAGUGAGUGAAAAGACUUCGGGUCUGUAGCUCAGGUGGUUAGAGCGCACCCCUGAUAAGGGUGAGGUCGGUAGUUCGAGUCUACCCAGACCCACCACUCUGAAUGUAGUGCACACUUAAGAAUUUAUAUGGCUCAGCGUUGAGGCUGAGGCAUGUUCUUUUAUAACUUGUGACGUAGCGAGCGUUUGAGAUAUCUAUCUAAACGUGUCGUUGAGGCUAAGGCGGGGACUUCGAGUCCCUAAAUAAUUGAGUCGUAUGUUCGCGUUGGUGGCUUUGUACCCCACACAACACGUACAUGUAGCUCCGAGGCAACUUGGGGUUAUAUGGUCAAGCGAAUAAGCGCACACGGUGGAUGCCUAGGCGGUCAGAGGCGAUGAAGGACGUGGUAGCCUGCGAAAAGUGUCGGGGAGCUG